CCCUUAGAUGUUCUGGGCCGCACGCGCGCUACACUGAUGCAUUCAACGAGUCCAACCUUGACCGAGAGGUCCGGGUAAUCUUUGAAACUGCAUCGUGAUGGGGCUAGAUUAUUGCAAUUAUUAAUCUUCAACGAGGAAUGCCCAGUAAGCGUGAUUCAUCAAAUCGCGUUGAUUACGUCCCUGCCCUUUGUACACACCGCCCGUCGCUCCUACCGAUUGAGUGUGUUGGUGAGGAGUUUGGAUUGGCCUCGGAAGGUGGUUCGCCACCGUCCGUAGCUGAGAAGUUCUCCAAACCGCCCCACUUAGAGGAAGGAGAAGUCGUAACA
rnacentral:rRNA from 1 species